rnacentral:lncRNA from 14 species
UAUAUCAAGGAAAAAAAUGUUCACAUGCUCUUCAUUGCACGAUUUUGGUAUCCUGAAUUUAGAUACACUGGCCCUUGAGCACUUUGUGAUGGAAAAAACUGUGGACCUGGUUUGCUACUCUAUGACAAUCCCUUGUGCAGCAUGAAGGAAUGGAUCAGGUUUGUGGCAGAAGAGAUGCUGUCUGGUACCUUAUGGCAUUCACAGUGGCUGGAAGAAUUGCAAGGAGCUGGGGAUUUGUAUUAAACAAGGAUCACCCUAUUCUCAAGCAUCAUUUGCAAAGUGAAUCCAGUGGUAUUGAUGUGAGAUUCAGGAGUUGAUUUGUACUGGAAGACAUCCCCAUAUGCAUAAAAAGAAGAUGAAUGAACUGUGUAGAACCAUGUAUUAAACUUGCACUCACUCAAGAAGGCAAGGCUGCAAAGUUUCAACUCAAGAUGGGAUCCUUUUGGAAAGAGACAGUGAGAAAUUGCCCCAGAUCCUGCAACAAUGAACCUCAAUGUGUUGAACUAAAGUAAGAAAUAGCUGCCAGUUGAGAAAUAGUAAAUAUUGCUAAAUUUAAUUGUUGUUUUCCAAUAAAACCCUAUUUUUUUAAUGAAAAUUGAAAGCA